GCCUGGGUGGCUCAGUCGGUUGAGUGUCUGACUUCGGCUCAGGUCAUGAUCUCACGGUCUGUGAGUUCGAGCCCCACGUCGGGCU
rnacentral:tRNA from 1 species